rnacentral:rRNA from 1 species
GAUGAACGCUGGCGGCGUGCCUAAUACAUGCAAGUCGAGCGAACAGAUGAGAAGCUUGCUUCUCUGAUGUUAGCGGCGGACGGGUGAGUAACACGUGGGUAACCUACCUAUAAGACUGGGAUAGCUCCGGGAAACCGGGGCUAAUACCGGAUAAUAUUUUGAACCGCAUGGUUCAAUAGUGAAAGACGGUUUCGGCUGUCACUUAUAGAUGGACCCGCGCCGUAUUAGCUAGUUGGUAAGGUAACGGCUUACCAAGGCGACGAUACGUAGCCGACCUGAGAGGGUGAUCGGCCACACUGGAACUGAGACACGGUCCAGACUCCUACGGGAGGCAGCAGUAGGGAAUCUUCCGCAAUGGGCGAAAGCCUGACGGAGCAACGCCGCGUGAGUGAUGAAGGUCUUCGGAUCGUAAAACUCUGUUGUUAGGGAAGAACAAAUUUGUUAGUAACUGAACAAGUCUUGACGGUACCUAACCAGAAAGCCACGGCUAACUACGUGCCAGCAGCCGCGGUAAUACGUAGGUGGCAAGCGUUAUCCGGAAUUAUUGGGCGUAAAGCGCGCGUAGGCGGUUUCUUAAGUCUGAUGUGAAAGCCCACGGCUCAACCGUGGAGGGUCAUUGGAAACUGGGAAACUUGAGUGCAGAAGAGGAGAGUGGAAUUCCAUGUGUAGCGGUGAAAUGCGCAGAGAUAUGGAGGAACACCAGUGGCGAAGGCGGCUCUCUGGCCUGUAACUGACGCUGAUGUGCGAAAGCGUGGGGAUCAAACAGGAUUAGAUACCCUGGUAGUCCACGCCGUAAACGAUGAGUGCUAAGUGUUAGGGGGUUUCCGCCCCUUAGUGCUGCAGCUAACGCAUUAAGCACUCCGCCUGGGGAGUACGACCGCAAGGUUGAAACUCAAAGGAAUUGACGGGGACCCGCACAAGCGGUGGAGCAUGUGGUUUAAUUCGAAGCAACGCGAAGAACCUUACCAAAUCCUGACAUCCUUUGACCGCUCUAGAGAUAGAGUCUUCCCCUUCGGGGGACAAAGUGACAGGUGGUGCAUGGUUGUCGUCAGCUCGUGUCGUGAGAUGUUGGGUUAAGUCCCGCAACGAGCGCAACCCUUAAGCUUAGUUGCCAUCAUUAAGUUGGGCACUCUAGGUUGACUGCCGGUGACAAACCGGAGGAAGGUGGGGAUGACGUCAAAUCAUCAUGCCCCUUAUGAUUUGGGCUACACACGUGCUACAAUGGAUAAUACAAAGGGCAGCGAAUCCGCGAGGCCAAGCAAAUCCCAUAAAAUUAUUCUCAGUUCGGAUUGUAGUCUGCAACUCGACUACAUGAAGCUGGAAUCGCUAGUAAUCGUAGAUCAGCAUGCUACGGUGAAUACGUUCCCGGGUCU